CCUACGGGAGGCAGCAGUAGGGAAUCUUCCGCAAUGGACGAAAGUCUGACGGAGCAACGCCGCGUGAACGAUGAAGGCCUUCGGGUCGUAAAGUUCUGUUGUUAGGGAAGAACAAGUGCUAGUUGAAUAAGCUGGCACCUUGACGGUACCUAACCAGAAAGCCACGGCUAACUACGUGCCAGCAGCCGCGGUAAUACGUAGGUGGCAAGCGUUGUCCGGAAUUAUUGGGCGUAAAGCGCGCGCAGGCGGUUUCUUAAGUCUGAUGUGAAAGCCCCCGGCUCAACCGGGGAGGGUCAUUGGAAACUGGGAAACUUGAGUGCAGAAGAGGAAAGUGGAAUUCCAAGUGUAGCGGUGAAAUGCGUAGAGAUUUGGAGGAACACCAGUGGCGAAGGCGACUUUCUGGUCUGUAACUGACGCUGAGGCGCGAAAGCGUGGGGAGCAAACAGGAUUAGAUACCCUGGUAGUCCACGCUGUAAACGAUGAGUGCUAAGUGUUAGAGGGUUUUCCGCCCUUUUAGUGCUGAAGUUAACGCAUUAAGCACUCCGCCUGGGGNUACGGUCGCAAGACUGAAACUCAAAUGAAUUGACGG
rnacentral:rRNA from 1 species